rnacentral:lncRNA from 1 species
GCUGGUGUAUUUAUAUCAUGAUAUACAAAUGUAUUAGAGAACCGUACAAAAAUUUUACGCUUGCAAAUCUAACUAGAAAUAUUCCUCUAACACUAAAUAAAAUGAAGGGCAACUCUCCUGCGUUUUCGUGAUUAAACAAAAAGUAAAUACUCCUCUAACAUGACCAUAAAGUACAGAAAAAUUGGCAUUAUUUUUCGGUAACCUUUCAGAAGCAAUUGUUUUUCCCCUUUUCUGCAACCUUUCUAAAACACAAUUGGCAUGUGGCAUAGUAAUUCAGUCAAAAUUUGGGAUGUGCAUCGAUGCUG